CAGAGGGGGCAAGCGUUGUUCGGAAUUACUGGGCGUAAAGGGCGCGUAGGUGGCCUGCUAAGUCGAACGUGAAAUCCCUGGGCUCAACCCAGGAACUGCGUCCGAUACUGGUUGGCUUGAAUCCGGGAGAGGGAUGUGGAAUUCCAGGUGUAGCGGUGAAAUGCGUAGAUAUCUGGAGGAACACCGGUGGCGAAGGCGACAUCCUGGACCGGUAUUGACGCUGAGGCGCGAAAGCCAGGGGAGCAAACGGGAUUAGAUACCCCGGUAGUCCUGGCCCUAAACGAUGAAUGCUUGGUGUGGCGGGUAUCGAUCCCUGCCGUGCCGAAGCUAACGCAUUAAGCAUUCCGCCUGGGGAGUACGGUCGCAAGGCUG
rnacentral:rRNA from 1 species